rnacentral:tRNA from 3 species
GGCGGCAUAGCUCAGUUGGCCAGAGCAUUCGGUUCAUACCCGAAGUGUCAUGUGUUCGAAUCACAUUGCCGCUACCA